UACGUAGGGACCAAGCGUUGUUCGGAUUUACUGGGCGUAAAGGGCGCGUAGGCGGCUUAACAAGUCACUUGUGAAAUCCCCGGGCUCAACCUGGGAACUGCAUUUGGGACUGCAAGGCUUGAGUACGGCAGAGGGGGGUAGAAUUCCUGGUGUAGCAGUGAAAUGCGUAGAUAUCAGGAGGAAUACCGAUGGCGAAGGCAGCCCCCUGGGUCGAUACUGACGCUCAUGCACGAAAGCGUGGGGAGCAAACAGG
rnacentral:rRNA from 1 species